AGAAUGAACGUUGGCGGCGUGGAUUAGGCAUGCAAGUCGCACGGGCCGCAAGGCCAGUGGCGCAAGGGUGAGUAAGGCGACGGUAACCAACCCCGGGACUGGGUAUAGCCGUGGGAAACUACGGGUAAUCCCCAGCGACGUCGCGUCGAGGCAUCUCGGCGCGACCAAAGUUCCGGCGUCCCGGGACGGGCCGUCGUGGUAUUAGCUUGUUGGCGGGGUAACGGCCCACCAAGGCUGCGAUGCCUACCGGGCGUGCGAGCGUGGCCCGGCACACUGGGACUGAGACACUGCCCAGACUCCUACGGGAGGCUGCAGUCGAGAAUCUUCGGCAAUGGGCGCAAGCCUGACCGAGCGACGCCGCGUGGAGGACGAAGGCCUUCGGGUUGUAAACUCCUGUCGAGGGGGAAGAAGGGGUGUCAAAACCCUUGACUGAUCCCUGGAGGAAGCACGGGCUAAGUUCGUGCCAGCAGCCGC
rnacentral:rRNA from 1 species